rnacentral:rRNA from 1 species
AUUGAACGCUGGCGGCGUGCUUAACACAUGCAAGUCGAACGCGAAAGGGACUUCGGUCCUGAGUAAAGUGGCGCACGGGUAAGUAACGCGUGGAUAAUCUGCCCUUAUGAUCGGGAUAACAGUUGGAAACGGCUGUUAAUACCGGAUACGCUCAAAAUGAACUUUUUGAGGAAAGAUGGCCUCUGCUUGCAUGCUAUCACGUAAGGAUGAGUCCGCGUCCCAUUAGCUUGUUGGCGGGGUAACGGCCCACCAAGGCAACGAUGGGUAGCCGAUUUGAGAGGAUGAUCGGCCACACUGGAACUGAAACACGGUCCAGACUCCUACGGGAGGCAGCAGUGGGGAAUAUUGCGCAAUGGGCGAAAGCCUGACGCAGCGACGCCGCGUGAGGGAUGAAGGUUUUCGGAUCGUAAACCUCUGUCAGAAGGGAAGAAACUACGUUGUGCUAAUCAGCAGCGUACUGACGGUACCUUCAAAGGAAGCACCGGCUAACUCCGUGCCAGCCGCCGCGGUAACAC